CACUCUGGAGGUGUCACCAAACUUCCACCACCAAUUUUGGCUGAAGAAGAUCUUUUCCUUCAACUAAAUUUGUUUACUCUGUGCCCACAGUGAGGCAUGCUACCUUCCUCUACCACCUUGGCUUCUCCAGACCCUAAACCUUUCUUCAGAAGCAUUCCUGCAAGUCGCUCAACCUGCUCCCAACUCCCUAAAGGAAGACUCCUUUUCCCUUACGGAUUUGAGCACCUUUUUCAGCAUGGCUGCGCCCGCUCUGAUGUUAUGUAGCUUCGUAAGGUACCAGUUGCAAAGCGGAGGCAGACAUCUUUGGGCUUGGGGCAUCUUACCGGGAAGAGACCUGAAUCCGGUGGAGAUGGGCUAGAGCAUGCGUAUUACCCUUUGCGACUCUAGCGAUUGACAUAACGCAGGCAAGUUUUGUGGGGCAGGAGAAGUGGUUGUACGGCUGGUUUUCCAAGAUGGCGGGUCCCACAUAAAUCAGCUAACAGGGCGCCGCCAUACUCUGUCAUAGUGUCUUUGUCUAAAAGAGGCGAAAGUUAAACGGCCUCUUGGCCGGUGGAAGGACGCCCCGGAGUGAUGGUUGGCAGCCUGCAGAUCCGGGUGCUACAGAGGAUAAACUUGACCUGCGAGGUGGAACAGCCGGGUUUGUGAAUCUGAAGAAAGUAAUUGACUGACCCUAUUUGUACCCACCCAGCUGGCGCGCGAAGGAUCUCUUAAGGGGUCUCAGUUUCGCGUUCUGGGAGCAGAAUCAGGUUGAGCUUUGCGGAGCGUCUCCAACCCCCGGGGCCGCACAGCAGGAGAUGAGCGGUGGGCAAGCAAGCGAAGCUUCAUCGGCCGCUCCCCAUCGCUCACAUUACCGCCUGAACCACACCCCCCUUCCGUGGAAAAAUUGUCUUCCAGGAAACCGGUCCCUCGUGCCAAAAAGGUUGGGGACCGCUGCUCUAAAUCACCUCCUCCUCUCACUGUCUCCACGGUGCUUUGUAAUGACCAAGAUCUAAAUAAAAUCUAAGGUCUUAGCUGCGGCGUGCGGGAUCUUCAUUUUGGCAUGCGGGAUCUUUUUAAGUUGCGGCAUGCAGGCUCUUAGUUGCAGCAUGCAGGAUCUAGUUCCCUCACCAGAGAUUGAACCCGGUCCCCCUGCAUUGGGAGCGCGGAGUCUUAACCGCUGGAUC